rnacentral:rRNA from 1 species
AUUGAACGCUAGCGGCAUGCCUUACACAUGCAAGUCGAACGGAUUGCCGAACGGGUGAGUAAUGUAUCGGAACGUGCCCAGUAGCGGGGGAUAACUACACCAAAGCGUAGCUAAUACCGCAUACUAUUGGCACCGGCGCUAUCGGAAUAGCUAGUUGGGGGGGUAGGGGCUCACCAAGGCGACGAUCCCUAGCUGGUUUGAGAGGACGACCAGCCACACUGGAACUGAGACACGGUCCAGACUCCUACGGGAGGCAGCAGUGGGGAAUUUUGGACAAUGGGGGAAAGCCUGAUGCAGCCAUGCCGCGUGUGUGAUGAAGGCCUUCGGGUUGUAAAGUACUUUUAGCAGGGAAGCGGUACCUGCAGAAUAAGCACCGGCUAACUCCGUGCCAGCAGCCGCGGUAAUAC